GGCUGGGACCUGGAGGACGAGCUAAUACCACGGAUCAGCAGACGGGGCGCCUUCGAAGCGCACUGCCAGCUGAGCCUUUACCCAAUCCUCCCUCUCCGAUGUUCAGGUGACCGCCCAGCAGCCAUAGCUGUCAGUUCAAGUGGCAUUACAAUAUCGAGAAAGUAAUUUUAUUGUACUGCAGAGGUAGAAAAGUGUGGAAGAAAGGACCUGAGCUUGCCCAGUGGAGCAUCCACUGAAAGAAGAACCCUGUAGUUUGAAAGAAGUGGUCAUGUGUCAAAUUGCAAAAGUAGUGGCUACAGGAGAAAGUACGUUUUCUUUUCACUUCCACCUUGAACCUCCAAAUCUUGCCAGAUGAAGAACGGAGAUAAUUGUCUGAGGUCAGAUUUGAACUCAAGGAGAUGAGUCUUCCCAACUUCUGGUCCUGCACUCUAUACAUUACAUCACCUAGCUGUGCCUCCUUCCAUGUGAUUGGCUCUAUUUUAGGUGAACUGGGCAUGUGCCAAAUGCCUAUUGAACUUGCCUGCAUAAUA